rnacentral:rRNA from 1 species
AUUGAACGCUGGCGGCAGGCCUAACACAUGCAAGUCGAGCGAGCGGCGGACGGGUGAGUGAUGCCUGGGAAUUGCCCAGUCGAGGGGGAUAACAGUUGGAAACGACUGCUAAUACCGCAUACGAUUGGAUUGGCCAGGUGUGAUUAGCUAGGUGGUGAGGUAAUGGCUCACCAAGGCGACGGUCCCUAGCUGGUCUGAGAGGAUGAUCAGCCACACUGGAACUGAGACACGGUCCAGACUCCUCCGGGAGGCAGCAGUGGGGAAUAUUGGAAAAUGGGGGAAACCCGGAUGCAGCAAUGCGGCGUGUGUGAAGAGGGCUUUCGGGUUGUAAAGCACUUUCAGCGAGGAGGCGUUACUCGCAGAAGAAGCACCGGCUAACUCCGUGCCAGCAGCCGCGGUAAUUC